UAUACAUCACUUCUGCUUACAGCACAUUGGCCAAAACUUGUCACAUGGUCCUGCCUAAUGGCACACUGGCGAGCUGGUACUCCUCCCUACACCUUGACGAAGAGGUGAACCAAAAUGGCUGACUAAUCAAAGUUACUAUGUCAGAGGCAGACUUUGAGCUCUUCACCACCAUCUGAUACUAUUGCCCUUGAGAAGAAUGAUCUCCUGCUGGAUGAGAGGAUCACAGUGGCUGUGUGGAGCUUCAUUAUUCAUUCUCCUCCAUCCAUCUUAAUCCUACCAUGCCUGUCACUGGAUCCCAAAGAGGCACAAUUAGGACCUCCCCUCAGGAGUCCUUCUGGCCUCUGCCCAGCUCCUAUGCUGUUCAAGACCAAUACUUGAUGCCCAGUGGCCCACGUUUUUUAACCUUUGGGAUUCAUGUGAUCAGCACCCACACAGCUGGGAAUCACUGAGUCACAGGCUGAGCAGCUGCUUGCAUCUUUUCUGCCUGGAAACAAGAUUUGUAGGGCAGAGUGGAUCUGCCUCCCACCCUUCUGGCAGGCUCCUGUGGCUCUCGGCAUUCCUGCUGCAAAGCCUUGUGAAGCACGUCUUUAACUUCUCAGAGAAGUGUUUAACAAAUGUCACCAUCCAGAGCUGACAGGCACAGUGGUCUUAGACCUGGAAGCCUCAGAUAUGAACAUCUUGGCAGGAAUCUCCAUCACGUUUCUGGAUAUGGGUUUGGAAUGUGUUCACCGACCUGCCCUUUACAAUUCAUUGAUUUUUGGGUUUGUUUACUUUUUCAACUCAUUCUCCAGGCAAGACGCAGUUUCUUCCUCCAGGUAAGAUGCAGUCAACAGCGAGAGAGGCUAAGAAGAGUCCAAGGGAAAGAUGUGUUUGCAAACAUUGCUUUUGGAUAGAACACUCUUUUUCUAGAACAAGUAGAGAAAGAGGGAGUUUAAAAAGUCAACAUAAUACCGAUAGGAGACAAAUAAUUGAACACAAAGAAAACAGAAUUUAUCCUUGAAACUGAAAGAACAGCAUACCUCUGGAAGUUACCUUCUAUAGGAAGCAGCAGGAUUAAAACAAACACAACUCUUUGUUCCUCAAUCUUCUCCUUUUAACCUAGUCUUUCCUCCUGGUUUUUUCAUUUCGUUUCAUAGAGUCCAAGUUGUUUUUAUAUCCUUUGUGUAGAGCAAAGUCAAUGAACAGAGAACAUAAAGGAUAUUAAAGAAAUAACUGCAAAGAAACAGAACUUGGAGUGCUAGAAAUGUCUUUCUUGGAGAUGGUAAAGAAUGGAAUGGACACUGUAGAAAUGGAAUCAGUAAUGUCGAACAACCUGAAGAAACUCCCAGAAUGGAGAGAGAAAGCUUAAAGAGAAUGAGAAAAGAGAAAAAGGAAAAUGACUGAUAUGGAGGAAAGAGAACAAAGACCCAAUAAAAGAAUUAUGGACAUGUUUUUAUAGCAGAAAACAAAAAGUCCACUCAUUAAUGAUUAUUGGUGUAAAAAUCAUCCAUGAAAAUGGUAGUAAAUUGCGCUCCUGGAACAUCAAUCCCUGGUUAAUAAAUUUCAAAAUUCUCAAUUCAAAUAAGAAAUUAAGAAUUUUUUGAGCCCGAUUAUGAUAAAUACUAAAAAAUUUUCCUAAAAAGAUACAAAGUAAGAUUUGGAUAGAUACUCCUGGCCAGAAGAUCAGAUGGUGUAAAGAUAUACAUUCUUCCUAUGUUAUAUCAUGAUUUAAAUAGUUUUAAUAAAAAUCCUAACAGUAUGGGCUAAAGCAAAUCUAACAUUUGAAAAAGUGAAUCUAACAUUUAUCUGGAAGCAAAAAUGGUGCAAGUAGCCAGGACAUUUUUUUUAAGAGCUAUUAUAAUAGAUUGUAAUCAAAACAGCAUGGCGGUGGUAGAACUUGAUAGGCAGAGAAUGCACCGAGAAGAUGUCCCAGCAUUAUUUAAUGAUUCUUUCUCCUCUAAUUUCGAAUGCCAAAUUUAAUCAUAAACUCACUCUUCUAUAUAUAUACUAAAGUCUAUUUUUGGGAUAAGUGGUUAACAAUAUGAAAGAAAGUUGGCAUCCUUUCUCAAAGCAUACACCACAAUACAAAGACCAAAAGGACUAAAUAGUCAAAUGCACAAAAGGAAGCCAAAAUAAAAUAUGGAUGGCUGUAUCUCUGAUCUUGAGCUUGGUUUAGUUUGUCUAUGUAUAAUGAGAUGGGGAAAAUUUUAUUCACCACAAUUCCACUUAUGAAUGGAACUCAUUUGUGGGAGAAAGUUCAUGAAGUAGAAAGGGAGACAGUAGAGGGUCUGAGUAAUAAACAUUGCUCUGUGGGAGACAAGAAGAAUUUCCCUGAUACUCUAACAAAGAAAGGAGAAGGGAGACAAAGGGAAGCAAAAGGAAGUAAAACAAAGGAAGCCAUCAUGAUGUGUGUGGAGGGGAAGAGGAAGUAGUGUCUAGAAGCAACAAGACGUUGAACUGUUACCAACUGCCAAAUUGGAGUCUGGGCGGGUUUUCAGCAGUCUCUAUAGGGCAGGAGGUGCCCGUCAAGGAUCUGGGUUAAAUGAGUGUAAAAGCAGUGGAGGAAAUCUCGAAGAGGAGCAAUUGGCAGAUUUUCUAACGUCAGAUUAGAAAUUUUUGUACAUCAGGGUUUAUAAACUACAAGGGAUCAAAUCUGGCCAUUCCCUUGAGUUUUUGUAUUAUCUGUCUCUGUUUUCCAGCUACCAUGGCAGCAUUGAGAAGUCGUGAUGGAGAACAUAUGGCCCACAAAGGCUAAAAUAUUUACUAUCUGGCCCUUUAAAGAAAAACUUUGCUAAUCCAAGCUCUACAUAAAAAAUAUCACAAUUAAAAGGCAAACUCAGAGAGGCUGGCCUGAUGGCAUAGCGGUUAAGUGCACGUGCUCUGCUUCAGCGGCCUGGGGUUGGCAGGUUCAGAGCCUGAGUGUGGACCAAGCACCGCUCGGUCAAGUCACACUGUGGCGGCAUCCCACAUAAAAUAGAGGAAGACUGGCACAGAUGUUAGCUCAGUGACAACCUUCCUCACCAAAAUUAAAAAAAAAAAGGCAAACUCAGAAACAAAAUGAAAUACUUGACACAAAUAGACUAAAGCAAACAAUAAUACCCUAAGUCUGCAAAGGGCUCUUUUAAAUUUAUUGAAAAACAGUCAGUUGGCAAUAGGCAGAGGACAUGAAUAGACAGUUCGUUGAAGAAAAAUACAAAGGUAUCAACACAUGAACCAAUGGAAGUCUGGCCUCACUAGGGAGCAAUCAAGGGACAGUGGAAUCAACCACAAUCAUGCCACAGUGUUUGGAGUAAGGAUGUUGUGAUGUGGACAGCUUCCCAUACUGUCGGUUGGAACACAUUAGAACCCUAAAAUAACGACACAAAGGUUACACCCUUUGAUCCAGAAAUUCCACUUCUGAGAAGCUAUCUUGAGAAACUAUUUGCAGAUACAAAUAUGUAAAGGAAAGUGUUGCGUGAGAAGCAAGGUCCGAGGUCAGAGGACAUCAGUCUUUUGUCUAAUUUCAGGCCAGUCUCCUAUGUGUAAGAUUUGCAUGAAGAGUGGAAAAGAUGCAAGGACACUUCCUUGGAUUCAGCCUUCCCAGGCCAACUUGCCAAAUUAAUGAGGAAUAAAGCUUCCGUCUACUCAACAGCUACCACCCUCUUCCCAUGGAUCGCGACUGAAAUGUACUGCUGCAAUGCCAUUCACGGCCUGGGAUAAAAAGAUGAGAAACUGAGGCCUGGAGAAGGCCCCACAGAUGGUUGAGGAGAGCCAGAUCAUGAACCAACAUCAUGGCACAUCUCGCCUGAAGAACCCACACCAGUUCCAGAGCCUUCAGGAAGUCCUUCCCAUCUACUCACUUCUUCCUGCCUCCAGUGGUUCUGGAAGAAUUCAGAGAAUGCCUCAUUUGCAGGGCUAAAAGAAGCCUAUGGAGGCUUCCAUUCCUGUCCUGGGCAUGUAGGCACAAACAAGAGUCAUCUCUACCCCCAGUAAGAAGGGUUACUGCAUAAGUGAGCACAACAGAAGAGAAGCCUGCCCAAGGCCUCCCCAGAGAUUUGGCUUUCUGCGUCCUGAAAAUUGGUUUCACCUAAGCCAAGAAACCAGUUAUCAGAUGGGAAUGGCAUUCUGUCAUCCCAGCCUGGGUCACCAGACGCCUAGAGGUGAGAGUCUUUGGGACAUAUUUCCCUGAUUAAACCAUCAUGGCAUCCUUCUGACAUGUAAGUGUGGAAGAAAGGAAUGUGUUACCGGGACCCAGUGAACAAAUCUUUUUAUAGCAUGACGUUGGACAUGAGGAUGUGGAUGCCUGAACACUAACAACACUUCAGUAAAGAACUAUCUUCAGUAGAGGCCCUCCCAAAUGCCAUCCCACAGUGACACAGAGGGAACAGUCUGAAGAAACUGCAAAGAGCUGCAUUAUUUGUAAGCAGAAAGUGGGAACCAGUUUGUAUCACAGCUGCUGAGGACAGAACAAAAACAAGUGGGCCUGAGAAGAUCAGAAGGAAAUAUGGGCCAACGGAGACUGCAGACUCUCUGUUUCCCAUUGUAGAUUUUUAAAACAUGAUAGUUUCUUCUAUCUGGGGAACUAUUUAAUUGUGGUCACUUUUGAAGGCAGAAGCCUAGUCUCCAGUUGGGGGAAUGGGACCAAUAUGGAUAAUAUAGCUUAAUCUGAUGCAGUCAAGAAGGGGUGGAGCAAGGAAAUGAAUAUUUAUUGAUUGUCUAUGAUGUGCUAGUCAUUUUUCAAUCAUUGACUUAUUUAAUCUUCCAAACCACACCAGGAGGUUGCUAUGACUAUCUCUCCCUUUCAAAACAGGAGGAUGGGGCUCAGGAAGCUAAGGGAACCUACAACCAAGGAGAGGUGGGAAGCGGAUCAGGGCUUUGAAGUCUUUUCUUACUAAGAACAAGGACAACCCCCAACCUCAGAUGCCAAUCAGUACAAUUAUGUUAUGAAAUUAAAUAUUUUCUUAAAAAGAAAAAGCAAGGAGGCAGCCUCUGGUAUAUAGUUUAUCUGCCAAGCACCAGUGCCUUUCCGUGGUUCUGACUCAGAGACUGCUUCCAUGGCCUUCUAGGCAAAGAACCUAGAGUUUUCUGCAUCCCUAUGCCCACCUCUGCCUGAUCCUUUU
ensembl:lncRNA